rnacentral:lncRNA from 1 species
GUGAGUUUUCCAAAACUCGGAGACAAAACCAAAAGUCAGUGAGGUCUGGGGUGAGCAUUUUGAUUCCACUGAGGAAACAUAGAGUGACAAGGACAAGGUCACACACAACAGGGGAAUUGGAAGAGCUCUGUUGGCCUUGUUUCUUAUUCUCACAUCGGAGCAACAAUUGCUUCCAAAAACAGAGGAAGUAUUCGGCCAGGCUGAGCAUCAGAGCUGGAGUUAACAGACAGCGGAGGGCGAAGAGAGCAGAACAGAGGGAUACAGAACAGACCUUUCAAACUGCUCCUAGAGGUGGGCAGAUUUAUGUUAUUAAAGUUUCCUUAUAGACAAAUGUCAAAGCCAUCUAAUUCACAUUUUCAUGUUGGAGCCAGUGAGUGUCCUCGAGGACCCAUAUGCUGCACCCUGGGCAGAUGUAUGAAGAAACUGGAGAUGAGAAUGCCUUGGCUAUUUGUCUUCUGUUAUGGUUUAUAUCUAGAUGCCCACCCCCCAAGCCUCAUGUGCUCAGGCAGACCUUUUGGAAGGUGACUGGAUCAGGCAGGGUACUAUACUUGUAGGUGGAUUAAUCCACUGAUGUGUUUAUAGCUAAACGUGCUGUUAGGAGGUGGGGUCUGGUUGGA